UGGAGAUGAUGUCACACUAACUAGACUAGAUCUUUUAAUCAGAUUUGGAUCUGAGUUGGAUCGAGAUGAAAUCUAGAUUCAGUGGUGCCUUCCUUCCUUUUGAGGCUUUAGUUCCAAAGCCCUAGACGAUAGUGGUGGUGCAAGACAUCUUGGUGGUGACUGACAAGGGAGGUUGAGGUUGAUAUAAAGGACGAUGAUAAUGAAGAAGGCACCAAUGAUGAUAGGGAGGCAAGCAAUCCAAAUGAUGAUAAGUGGAGAGGAUAAGAGCUCUCGAUGGCCCCUGAA
rnacentral:lncRNA from 1 species